ACGUGGGUAAUCUGCCCUGCNCUCUGGGACAAGNCCUGGAAACGGGGUCUAAUACCGGAUACUUACCAUCUUGGGCAUCCUUGAUGGUGGAAAGCUCCGGCGGUGCAGGAUGAACCCNCGGCCUAUCAGCUANUUGGUGAGGUAACGGCUCACCANGGCGACGACGGGUAGCCGGCCUGAGAGGGCGACCGGCCNCACUGGGACUGAGACACGGNCCAGACUCCUACGGGAGGCAGCAGUGGGGAAUAUUGCACAAUGGGCGAAAGCCUGAUGCAGCGACGCCGCNUGAGGGAUGACGGCCUUCGGGUUGUAAACCUCUUUCANCAGGGAAGAAGCGAAANUGACGGUACCUGCAGAAGAAGCGCCGGCUAACUACGUGCCAGCAGCCGCGGUAAUACGUAGGGCGCAAGNGUUGUCCGGAAUUAUUGGGCGUAAAGAG
rnacentral:rRNA from 1 species